rnacentral:rRNA from 1 species
GUGGGGAAUCUUGCGCAAUGGGCGAAAGCCUGACGCAGCCAUGCCGCGUGAAUGAUGAAGGUCUUAGGAUUGUAAAAUUCUUUCACCGGGGACGAUAAUGACGGUACCCGGAGAAGAAGCUCCGGCUAACUUCGUGCCAGCAGCCGCGGUAAUACGAAGGGGGCUAGCGUUGCUCGGAAUUACUGGGCGUAAAGGGCGCGUAGGCGGACAGCUUAGUCAGAGGUGAAAGCCCAGGGCUCAACCUUGGAAUUGCCUUUGAUACUGGCUGUCUUGAGUUUGGGAGAGGUGAGUGGAACUCCGAGUGUAGAGGUGAAAUUCGUAGAUAUUCGGAAGAACACUAGUGGCGAAGGCGACUCACUGGCCCAAUACUGACGCUGAGGCGCGAAAGCGUGGGGAGCAAACAGGAUUAGAAACCCGAGUAGUCC